AUUGAACGCUGGCGGCAGGCCUAACACAUGCAAGUCGAACGGUAACAGGAAGCAGCUUGCUGCUUUGCUGACGAGUGGCGGACGGGUGAGUAAUGUCUGGGAAACUGCCCGAUGGAGGGGGAUAACUACUGGAAACGGUAGCUCAUACCGCAUAACGUCGCAAGACCAAAGAGGGGGACCUUAGGGCCUCUUGCCAUCGGAUGUGCCCAGAUGGGAUUAGCUAGUAGGUGGGGUAACGGCUCACCUAGGCGACGAUCCCUAGCUGGUCUGAGAGGAUGACCAGCCACACUGGAACUGAGACACGGUCCAGACUCCUACGGGAGGCAGCAGUGGGGAAUAUUGCACAAUGGGCGCAAGCCUGAUGCAGCCAUGCCGCGUGUAUGAAGAAGGCCUUCGGGUUGUAAAGUACUUUCAGCGGGGAGGAAGGGAGUAAAGUUAAUACCUUUGCUCAUUGACGUUACCCGCAGAAGAAGCACCGGCUAACUCCGUG
rnacentral:rRNA from 1 species